GCUGCGUGAUAUGGAGCGCUGCGCCCGACAAGCCCGAUUUAACAGAAGUUGGAGGAAGAAAAAGUCAUCACUUGCUACUACCAAUUCCACCAUGCCCUGUCUGGAUGCUCCUUUGGUGAAGAAAAUGUCAUCACUUACUACUACUUCCACCAUGCCUGUCUUGAUGCUCCUUUGAAAAUGUCAUCACCUCACGAUGUCACUACUAGUACCACCACCAUGCCUCGGUCGCCAUCAAGGUAUAUAUACAUUCAUAUAUACAUUUCAUCUGUAAUAUAUAGAGAGAGGCAUCAACUGAGGUUUGCAGAGACCUAAAUUACAUAAGACAACAACAAGUAAACCAAGCGUUACUUCGGAAUUUGACA